rnacentral:rRNA from 1 species
UACGUAGGCAGCGAGCGUUGUUCGGAAUUAUUGGGCGUAAAGAGCUCGUAGGCGGUUUGUCGCGUCUGCCGUGAAAGUCCGGGGCUCAACUCCGGAUCUGCGGUGGGUACGGGCAGACUAGAGUGAUGUAGGGGAGACUGGAAUUCCUGGCGUAGCGGUGAAAUGCGCAGAUAUCAGGAGGAACACCGAUGGCGAAGGCAGGUCUCUGGGCAUUAACUGACGCUGAGGAGCGAAAAGCAUGGGGAGCGAACAGG